GGGUCCACGUGAAGGAAAAUGGAUGCUCCACACGUGGGCUUCAAGUUGGAGUCAUCUGAAGAACGAUGAUCGAAGUCGAAUUGAACAUGAAUCCUCAUUCCCCGCUCCUCGAAUAUCAGUCUCAGGCUCUCAUCUCUGGCUAUCUACCAGUCGCAGACCGCCACAACCCACCCGCAAACCUGACUCUUACUCCUUCAACGAAGAUUGAAGAGAGUCUCUCACACUUCCAAUCGACGCGCUCCUGUUCUUGAUCUGUUCUCUCGGCGCGUCAACAUCUCAGGUUGUCUGUUCUAUCACAGUCUCCUCCAGUGAAGAGUCUCUCACACUCCCAGUCGAGAUCUCGGGUUUUCGACUCUCACUCGCUCACUCUCAGCUCAAUCUCUGCCUUUGUCAUUGUGCGAGCAUUGUGAGGUCCGUCUUCUGUCUCUAUCUCUGCUUCUAUGCUCUUUUUUGUUUAUGCCGUCUGUUCCUUUCAAGCUUUGACCAGAUUAUGGCGCCAUUAUUUGAUUAUCUGUGGCUAUUUAUGAUUUUGAUGAUUUUUUCAACUGUUUGGAUUUUAUGCGCCCAAGUAUCUGUUUAUUGCCUUCUUCCUUAACUGUUGUCAGUUGUAAAAGGCUUCAUGAUCUCUGGAAAGAGUUAUGAAUGUGUAUCUUGUGGAUGAACAACUUUCCUGUAAAUUCUUCCCUAUGGAUCUUUAUAUAUUUGUUUGAACCUUCAAAUACCCUUUGAUUGCAUAGCUAGCAAGGAAGACUUGAUACCCCCGGUGUCAAGGCCUCCAUUUCUCUUGUAGGGCUAUUGGAGCUGUUGUAUAUAAAGUACCAGAGCCUGGAAAUGACAAUAUGCUAAAAAUAAGUCUAACGAGUCUGUGCAAUGAAAAUGCAACUCCCAUCUCUCAGGUGGGGGACACAGAAAUAUAAGCUCUUUCAUGUUAAGUUCUGAGCCAUUUGAGCAAUGGAAAGUGUGAUUAUGAUUCGAAAGUACUUCCCACAUAAGGAGAGAGAAUAGAGUUUUCACUACAUGUUCUCUGUGCUGCUUCAAAUCUGGAACUGUCACUUUGCAAAGCUAAUUGAUUGUUGAGGUGGCUCUCUGUGUGUGCAAUUUUUUUUAAUUUUACUGGGUCUCAAUGUUGUUGUUUAUCAAGUCCCAGGACCAAUAAAACACAAAUGUUCAUAUUCAGUACCAGCAUCAAAAGGUAGGUUGAUUAGUUAGUCAUAAAUAAACAUGUUGAUGUGUUAUGGGUAAGUUUCACUGAAAAGUUUUUUGUUUUUUUUGUUUUUUGUUUUUGUAGACUACAUUUAUUUUUAGAGUUUGGUUAGAUUGAUAAGAAUGGGAUACAAAGUGAAGGAAAAGAAUGUUUAAUUUAUAUA